rnacentral:pre_miRNA from 1 species
AGCUUUUCGAAUUCGUGCUGAGAUUUCGUCAGACACCAGUCCAUCAGGGCUGAUCAGACUU